rnacentral:rRNA from 1 species
UACCAGCACCCCGAGUGGUCGGGACGAUUAUUGGGCCUAAAGCAUCCGUAGCCGGUCCUACAAGUCUUCCGUUAAAUCCACCUGCUUAACAGAUGGGCUGCGGAAGAUACUAUAGGGCUAGGAGGCGGGAGAGGCAAGCGGUACUCAGUGGGUAGGGGUAAAAUCCGUUGAUCCAUUGAAGACCACCAGUGGCGAAAGCGGCGCACUGGACCACUUCUGACGCUGAGGCGCGAAAGCUAGGGGAGCAAACAGG